GAUGAACGCUGGCGGCGUGCUUAACACAUGCAAGUCGAACGGGAAUUAUUUUAUUGAAACUUCGGUCGAUUUAAUUUAAUUCUAGUGGCGGACGGGUGAGUAACGCGUGGGUAACCUGCCUUAUACAGGGGGAUAACAGUCAGAAAUGGCUGCUAAUACCGCAUAAGCGCACAGAGCUGCAUGGCUCAGUGUGAAAAACUCCGGUGGUAUAAGAUGGACCCGCGUUGGAUUAGCUUGUUGGCAGGGUAACGGCCUACCAAGGCGACGAUCCAUAGCCGGCCUGGGAAGGGUAACGGGCACAUUUGGACCGGGACACCGCCCAGACUCCUACGGGAGGGAGCAAGGGGGAAUAUUUCACAAAGGGGGGAACCCUGAUGCAGCGAAGCCGCGUGAAGGAAGAAGUAACUCGGGAAGUAAACUUCUAUCAGCAGGGAAGAUAGUGACGGUACCUGACUAAGAAGCCCCGGCUAACUACGUG
rnacentral:rRNA from 1 species